rnacentral:rRNA from 1 species
AGGGUUUGAUCAUGGCUCAGAACGAACGCUGGCGGCAGGCCUAAUACAUGCAAGUCGAGCGCGUCUGGCCCUCCUUUGGAGGGUGAGGCGAGCGGCGGACGGGUGAGUAACACGUGGGAACGUACCCUUGUGUGGGGGAUAACGUCGAGAAAUUGACGCUAAUACCGCAUACGCCCUUAGGGGGAAAGAUUUAUCGCACAAGGAGCGGCCCGCGCUGGAUUAGCUAGUAGGUGAGGUAAUGGCUCACCUAGGCUACGAUCCAUAGCUGGUCUGAGAGGACGAUCAGCCACACUGGGACUGAGACACGGCCCAGACUCCUACGGGAGGCAGCAGUCGGGAAUCUUGCGCAAUGGGGGAAACCCUGACGCAGCCAUGCCGCGUGAGUGAAGAAGGCCUUCGGGUUGUAAAGCUCUUUCAGUGGAGAUGAUGAUGACAGUAUCCACAGAAGAAGCCCCGGCUAACUUCGUGCCAGCAGCCGCGGUAACACGAAGGGGGCAAGCGUUGUUCGGAAUUACUGGGCGUAAAGGGCGUGUAGGCGGCUUGUGUAAGUCGGAGGUGAAAUCCCGGGGCUCAACCCCGGAACUGCCUUCGAUACUACCAAGCUAGAGUGCGGAAGGGGCUAGUGGAAUUUCCAGUGGAGAGGUGAAAUUCGUAGAGAUUGGAAGGAACACCAGAGGCGAAGGCGACUAGCUGGUCCGCAACUGACGCUGAGGCGCGAAAGCGUGGGGAGCAAA